rnacentral:lncRNA from 1 species
UUGUUUAGUUGUGAAAACUGGUGCGAUUCCUCUCUCUGAUGAAGUGGCAAACCCGUCUUCCAGGAUACCAGCUGGCAGGAAAGAAACGUGCUCCUGAGGAGAUGCCGGAGGGUGUAACACAGUAACACAGGGUGACUCCACGUCAUCCUGGGAUGAAGGAGAGCCAGCCUGGAGCUGCAGCCUGUUGAGAUGUCCACUAAGAAAGCUGCCCUUGGGUCUCGCGGUGCUCUGAGCACGCCUCGCCACCGCCGUCUGGUAAAACGGGAGGCAUCUGCCACAAAUGAGAUGGAAUACUGUGAAUAUACAGUUCGUACCUAUGGGACAGCAAUAGGACCUACGUCCAACACCGUUGCAAUGCAUCUCCCAUCCUGUGCGAGCAAACUGCCAUUUCUCAGUGGCAGAAGAGGGAAAAUAAAAGGGCUAUCAAAGGCAACCAACCUAUUUUCAUGGAGCAGAGUACCCUGAGGAUUAGUUUCUCUGUAGUAAUUACGCCUAGAAAUAGGCAUAAAAUAAAAGCCCCUACCAUCCUUUGGUGGUAUUGAGU